ACAUGCAAGUCGAGCGGUAGCACAGAGAGCUUGCUCUCGGGUGACGAGCGGCGGACGGGUGAGUAAUGUCUGGGAAACUGCCUGAUGGAGGGGGAUAACUACUGGAAACGGUAGCUAAUACCGCAUAACGUCGCAAGACCAAAGUGGGGGACCUUCGGGCCUCAUGCCAUCAGAUGUGCCCAGAUGGGAUUAGCUAGUAGGUGGGGUAACGGCUCACCUAGGCGACGAUCCCUAGCUGGUCUGAGAGGAUGACCAGCCACACUGGAACUGAGACACGGUCCAGACUCCUACGGGAGGCAGCAGUGGGGAAUAUUGCACAAUGGGCGCAAGCCUGAUGCAGCCAUGCCGCGUGUGUGAAGAAGGCCUUCGGGUUGUAAAGCACUUUCAGCGGGGAGGAAGGCGGUAAGGUUAAUAACCUUACCUAUGACGUUAUCCCGCAGAAGAAGCACCGGCUAACUCCGUGCCAGCAGCCGCGGUAAUACGGAGGGUGCAAGCGUUAAUCGGAAUUACUGGGCGUAAAGCGCACGCAGGCGGUCUGUCAAGUCGGAUGUGAAAUCCCCGGGCUUAACCUGGGAACUGCAUUCGAAACUGGCAGGCUAGAGUCUUGUAGAGGGGGGUAGAAUUCCAGGUGUAGCGGUGAAAUGCGUAGAGAUCUGGAGGAAUACCGGUGGCGAAGGCGGCCCCCUGGACAAAGACUGACGCUCAGGUGCGAAAGCGUGGGGAGCAAACAGGAUUAGAUACCCUGGUAGUCCACGCCGUAAACGAUGUCGAUUUGGAGGUUGUGCCCUUGAGGCGUGGCUUCCGGAGCUAACGCGUUAAGUCGACCGCCUGGGGAGUACGGCCGCAAGGUUAAAACUCAAAUGAAUUGACGGGGGCCCGCACAAGCGGUGGAGCAUGUGGUUUAAUUCGAUGCAACGCGAAGAACCUUACCUACUCUUGACAUCCAGAGAACUUAGCAGAGAUGCUUUGGUGCCUUCGGGAACUGUGAGACAGGUGCUGCAUGGCUGUCGUCAGCUCGUGUUGUGAAAUGUUGGGUUAAGUCCCGCAACGAGCGCAACCCUUAUCCUUUGUUGCCAGCGGUCCGGCCGGGAACUCAAAGGAGACUGCCAGUGAUAAACUGGAGGAAGGUGGGGAUGACGUCAAGUCAUCAUGGCCCUUACGACCAGGGCUACACACGUGCUACAAUGGCAUAUACAAAGAGAAGCGACCUCGCGAGAGCAAGCGGACCUCAUAAAGUAUGUCGUAGUCCGGAUUGGAGUCUGCAACUCGACUC
rnacentral:rRNA from 1 species